rnacentral:rRNA from 1 species
GAUCAUGGCUCAGGAUGAACGCUAGCUACAGGCUUAACACAUGCAAGUCGAGGGGCAGCAUGGUCUUAGCUUGCUAAGACUGAUGGCGACCGGCGCACGGGUGAGUAACACGUAUCCAACCUGCCGUCUACUCUUGGACAGCCUUCUGAAAGGAAGAUUAAUACAAGAUGGCAUCAUGAGUCCGCAUGUUCACAUGAUUAAAGGUAAUUCGUGGACGGA